rnacentral:rRNA from 1 species
UACGUAGGGGGCUAGCGUUGUCCGGAAUCAUUGGGCGUAAAGCGCGCGUAGGCGGCCCUGGUAAGUCCGCUGUGAAAGUCCAAAGGCUCAACCUUUGAAUGUCAGCGGAUACUGCCGGGCUAGAGUCCGGAAGAGGCGAGUGGAAUUCCUGGUGUAGCGGUGGAAUGCGCAGAUAUCAGGAGGAACACCAACGGCGAAGGCGCUCGCUGGGACGUACUGACGCUGAGGCGACGGAAAGCGUGGGGAGCGAACAGG